rnacentral:rRNA from 1 species
GAUGAACGCUAGCUACAGGCUUAACACAUGCAAGUCGAGGGGAAACGGCAUUGAGUGCUUGCACUCUUUGGACGUCGACCGGCGCACGGGUGAGUAACGCGUAUCCAACCUUCCCAUUACUGUGGGAUAACCUGCCGAAAGGCAGACUAAUACCGCAUAGUCUUCGAUGACGGCAUCAGAUUUGAAGUAAAGAUUUAUCGGUAAUGGAUGGGGAUGCGUCUGAUUAGCUUGUUGGCGGGGUAACGGCCCACCAAGGCGACGAUCAGUAGGGGUUCUGAGAGGAAGGUCCCCCACAUUGGAACUGAGACACGGUCCAAACUCCUACGGGAGGCAGCAGUGAGGAAUAUUGGUCAAUGGACGGAAGUCUGAACCAGCCAAGUAGCGUGCAGGACGACGGCCCUAUGGGUUGUAAACUGCUUUUGUAUGGGGAUAAAGUUAGGGACGUGUCCCUAUUUGCAGGUACCAUACGAAUAUGGACAGGC